GAUGAAGAACGCAGGUAAAUGCGAUAAGUAAUGUGAAUUGCAGAAUUCAGUGAAUCAUCGAAUCUUUGAACGCACCUUGCGCCCUUUGGCUAUUCCGAAGGGCAUGCCUGUUUGAGUAUCAUGAACACCUCAACUCUCAUGGUUUGCCAUGAUGAGCUUGGACUUUGGGGGUCUUGCCGGCCUAUGGGUCGGCUCCUCUCAAAUUAAUCAGCUUGCCAGUGUUUGGUGGCAUCACAGGUGUGAUAACUAUCUACGCUUGUGGUUUUCCAUCAGGUAACCUUCAGUGAUGGAGGUUCGCUGGGGCUCAUAAAUGUCUCUCCUCAGUGAGGACAGCUUUUUUGAACGUUUGAUCUCAAAUCAGGUAGGACUACCCGCUGAACUUAAGCAUAUCAAUAAGCGGAGGA
rnacentral:misc_RNA from 1 species